rnacentral:rRNA from 1 species
GACGAACGCUGGCGGCGUGCUUAACACAUGCAAGUCGAACGAUGAAGCCGGAGCUUGCUCUGGUGAAUUAGUGGCGAACGGGUGAGUAACACGUGAGUAACCUGCCCUUGACUCUGGGAUAACUGCGGGAAACUGUAGCUAAUACCGGAUACGACCCUCGGAGGCAUCUCCUGGGGGUGGAAAGAAUUUCGGUCAAGGAUGGACUCGCGGCCUAUCAGCUAGUUGGUGAGGUAAAGGCUCACCAAGGCGACGACGGGUAGCCGGCCUGAGAGGGUGACCGGCCACACUGGGACUGAGACACGGCCCAGACUCCUACGGGAGGCAGCAGUGGGGAAUAUUGCACAAUGGGCGCAAGCCUGAUGCAGCAACGCCGCGCGAGGGAUGAAGGCCUUCGGGUUGUAAACCUCUUUUAGCAGGGAAGAAGCGAAAGUGACGGUACCUGCAGAAAAAGCACCGGCUAACUACGUGCCAGCAGCCACCGUAA